CGGGUGNGUAACACGUGAGUGACCUGCCUUUUAGACUGGAACAACUUACCGAAAGGUGAGCUAAUGCCGGAUGAGUUAUAUAAGUGCAUGUUUAUAUAGGAAAAGUUGGGGAGACCUGACGCUGAAAGAUGGACUCGCGUCCCAUUAGCUAGUUGGUAGGGUAAUGGCCUACCAAGGCGACGAUGGGUAGCCGGCCUGAGAGGGUGGCCGGCCACACUGGGACUGAGACACGGCCCAGACUCCUACGGGAGGCAGCAG
rnacentral:rRNA from 1 species